rnacentral:rRNA from 1 species
GACGAACGCUGGCGGCGUGCCUAACACAUGCAAGUCGAACGGAAAGGCCCUGCUUUUGUGGGGUUCUCGAGUGGCGAACGGGUGAGUAACACGCGAGUAACCUGCCCCUAACUUUGGGAUAACAUCAGGAAAAUGGGGCUAAUAUCGGAUAGGAGCUCCUGCUGCACAGUGGGGGUUGGAAAGUUUCGGCGGUGGGGGAUGGUCUCGCGGCAUAUCAGCUGGUUGGUGGGGUAGUGGCUGACCAAGGCUUUGGCGGGUAGCCGGCCUGGGAGGGUUGCCGGCCACAUGGGGACUGAGAUGCGGCCCAGACGCCUACGGGCGGCAGCGGGGGGGAAUCUUGCACAAUGGGCGGAAGCCUGAUGCAACAACGCCGCGUGCGGGAUGACGGCCUUCGGGUUGUAAACAGCUUUCACCUGUGACGAAGCGUGAGUGACGGUAAUGAGACAGAAGCACCGGCUAACUACGUG